AUUGAACUCUGGCGGCAUGCCUUACACAUGCAAGUCGAACGGCAGCAUGAUCUUGCUUGCUAGAUUGAUGGCGAGUGGCGAACGGGUGAGUAAUACAUCGGCACGUGCGCUGUGGAGGGGGAUAACUAGUCGAAAGUUUAGCUACUAACGCCCACGACCUGAGGGUGGAAGUGGGGGACCGCACGGCCUAUUGCAUUAGGAGAGGCCGAAGUCUGAUUAGCUAGUUGGUGAGGUAAAGGCUCACCAAGGCGACGAUCAGUAGCUGGUCUGAGAGGACGAUCAGCCACACUGGGACUGAGACACGGCCCAGACUCCUACGGGAGGCAGCAGUGGGGAAUUUUGGACAAUGGGCGAAAGCCUGAUCCAGCAAUGCCGCGUGUGUGAAGAAGGCCUUCGGGUUGUAAAGCACUUUUGGCCGGAAAGAAAUGGCGCUGGUUAAUACCUUGGGGCGAUGACGGUACCGGAAGAAUAAGGACCGGCUAACUACGUG
rnacentral:rRNA from 1 species